UCUUAUGGAUGAGAAAAGAAAGUGGUUUCUUGAGAUAGAAUUUAUUUCUGGAGAUGAUGCUGUGAA
rnacentral:pre_miRNA from 1 species